AUUGAACGCUGGCGGCAUGCCUUACACAUGCAAGUCGAACGGUAACGGGCCUUCGGGUGCCGACGAGUGGCGAACGGGUGGGUAAUACAUCGGAACGUGCCCGAUCGUGGGGGAUAACGAGGCGAAAGCUUUGCUAAUACCGCAUACGAUCUACGGAUGAAAGCAGGGGACCGCAAGGCCUUGCGCGGACGGAGCGGCCGAUGGCAGAUUAGGUAGUUGGUGGGAUAAAAGCUUACCAAGCCGACGAUCUGUAGCUGGUCUGAGAGGAUGAUCAGCCACACUGGGACUGAGACACGGCCCAGACUCCUACGGGAGGCAGCAGUGGGGAAUUUUGGACAAUGGGCGCAAGCCUGAUCCAGCCAUGCCGCGUGCAGGAUGAAGGCCUUCGGGUUGUAAACUGCUUUUGUACGGAACGAAAAGCCUUCUUUUAAUACAGGAGGGUCAUGACGGUACCGUAAGAAUAAGCACCGGCUAACUACGUG
rnacentral:rRNA from 1 species